rnacentral:rRNA from 1 species
UACGUAGGGGGCUAGCGUUGUCCGGAAUCAUUGGGCGUAAAGAGCGUGUAGGCGGUCCGGUAAGUCCGCUGUGAAAGUCGGGGGCUCAACCCUCGAAUGCCGGUGGAUACUGUCGGGCUAGAGUGCGGAAGAGGCGAGUGGAAUUCCUGGUGUAGCGGUGGAAUGCGCAGAUAUCAGGAGGAACACCAACGGCGAAGGCAGCUCGCUGGGACGGUACUGACGCUAAGGCGCGAAAGCGUGGGGAGCGAACAGG